UGAGUGGCGGACGGGUGAGUAACGCGUGGGCAACCUGGCCUGUACAGGGGAUAACACUUAGAAAUAGGUGCUAAUACCGCAUAACGGGGGGAGCCGCAUGGCACCCCCUGAAAACUCCGGUGGUACAGGAUGGGCCCGCGUCUGAUUAGCUGGUUGGCAGGGUAACGGCCUACCAAGGCGACGAUCAGUAGCCGGCCUGAGAGGGCGGACGGCCACACUGGGACUGAGACACGGCCCAGACUCCUACGGAAGGCAGCAG
rnacentral:rRNA from 1 species